GACGAACCGUGCGAACGUUGUUCGGAAUCACUGGGCUUAAAGGGCGCGUAGGCGGCAUAUCAAGUCAGGGGUGAAAUCCGGCAGCUUAACUGUCGAAGUGCCUUUGAUACUGAUGUGCUCGAGGAAGGUAGGGGUGUGUGGAACUUCUGGUGGAGCGGUGAAAUGCGUUGAUAUCAGAAGGAACGCCGGUGGCGAAAGCGACGCACUGGACCUUUUCUGACGCUGAGGCGCGAAAGCUAGGGGAGCAAACGGG
rnacentral:rRNA from 1 species